UCGGAGGCCACGGCAAGGUCUCUUCUAUAUAGAGUCGGGUUUUCUCGCCACCUGUGACGGGUCUUUGGCGGCACCCACCGCUCAGCGCCUGCGCAGACUGAGGACCACGGUCACCAUGACAGCGACCGCCGGGGCCCCUGGAUCUUGGAGUGAAAACAUACUGGAAUAUUUUCUCAGAAAUAACCAGAUCACAACAGAAGAUGGCGCCCAGAUCAUCUGGUAUCAUGCGGCUAACCACAAGGUGCAAGUGAAUGAGGCACUGAGAAGUACUGCUCAUAUGAUAGAGGCUGAUGUCAUUUUUCCAAGCGAUGGAUCAGAACACGGCCAGCCAAUCAUGGCUCAUCCUCCUGAAACAAACAGUGAUAAUACUUUACAGGAAUGGCUGGCUGAAGUUAUAAAAAGCAAUAAAGGCAUCAAACUGGAUUUUAAGAGUCUGGCAGCUGUAGAACCAUCCAUGAUGCUCUUGGAAAAUGUGAAGAGGCAUCUGAAGCGUCCAGUGUGGAUUAAUGCUGAUAUUCUUCCUGGUCCAAAUGGAAAUAGCAGAGUAGUGGAUGCAAAACCUUUUAUAGACACUGUGACAUCCUUCUUUCCAGAUGUGACAUUUUCCCUAGGUUGGACAACAGGAUGGCAUCCUGAGAAAGUCAAUGAAGGUUACAGUUGGAUAAUGGUGAAAGAGAUGGAAUAUAUAUGUAAUGAACUAAAUCAGCUUGUAACAUUUCCUGUCAGAGCAGCAUUAGUCAGGCAGUCUUGUUCUCAGUUACUUUGGCUGUUAAAGCAAUCAAACAGAAAACCCCCGGAAGGGAUAGCGGGGCCACUUAUAAGUGAAUAUGAAUGUUGGGAACAUCAGUGACAUUUGUGUCUCUUCACUGUCCCUUCCAGUCGUGCUUUUGACUGUGGCCUGGCUACUGAAGAAACCAGGUACAGCCUGACUGUUUGGACUGGAAAUAACGAUAGCUAUUCCACUGAAGAUUUACUUUUUAUUAGAAGCCAUUUUGACAAA